UUAAAACCGAGUAUCUAGCU
rnacentral:misc_RNA from 1 species